rnacentral:lncRNA from 1 species
AGUAAGACACAGGACUUCAGGACUGGAGUGAUGGCUCGGUGGUUAAAGGCACUGGCUGCUCUUCCAGAGGACUUAGGUUUAUCUACAGGUACCCACAUGGCAGCUCAGCUAUAACUCCAGUGCCACGGGAUCGUCUGCCAUCUUCUGCCCUCCGUGGGCAAUGCAUGCCUGGAUGUGGUGCACAUGCAUGCAUUCAGGCAAAGCACCCAUAUUCAGGAAAUAAAAAUAAACAAAAAUUUAAAAAUUGAA